GGGGGUAUAGCUUAGCUGGUAGAGCGUCUGCUUUGCACGCAGAAGGUCAGCGGUUCGACUCCGCUUACCUCCA
rnacentral:tRNA from 1 species